CAAAAAAAAAGUUUGUUUGGUCACAUAAGAGGACACGCGACAAGAAUCAAUUUAAAGAUCCCGAUUUGUCUCAACCAAUAAUUCAUACAUUAGACCUACAAAGUCCAGUACGUUGCCCCAGUGGUUUGAUGUUGUGCACAUUGUGUUCAGAGUGUUAGGGAGAAGAUACAAGUAAUUGUGCAUACAUUGACUGUUCAGAAGAACAUAAACAAGCAACCUUGAUGAAAUUGAAAAGCUUCAUUCAUUAUCAUGUACACAUUUAGAAGAAAUCAAAGUUUCUACAAAGGCGACGGUUUUUUUUGACAAAAUUGGGCUCAUUCUGCAGAUCAACCUUCAUUAUCCUGCUUAAUGGGUAAAUUUCUGAAAUUUAGGAU